rnacentral:sRNA from 1 species
UGAUCCUUUGCAGGUCAAGGUAAAGGGC